rnacentral:rRNA from 2 species
CCUACGGGAGGCAGCAGUAGGGAAUCUUCCGCAAUGGACGAAAGUCUGACGGAGCAACGCCGCGUGAGUGAUGAAGGCUUUCGGGUCGUAAAACUCUGUUGUUAGGGAAGAACAAGUGCUAGUUGAAUAAGCUGGCACCUUGACGGUACCUAACCAGAAAGCCACGGCUAACUACGU